rnacentral:rRNA from 1 species
GAUGAACGCUGGCGGCGUGCCUAAUACAUGCAAGUCGAGCGCAAAGAUAAGGAGCUUGCUCCUUUGAUUUGAGCGGCGGACGGGUGAGUAACACGUAGGCAACCUACCCUUGAGAUUGGGAUAACUACCGGAAACGGUAGCUAAUACCGGAUACGACCUUUCUGCAUAAGCGGACUGGUUAAAAGGCGGAUUUAUCUGCCGCUCAUGGAUGGGCCUGCGGUGCAUUAGCUAGUUGGUGAGAUAGUAGCUCACCAAGGCGACGAUGCAUAGCCGACCUGAGAGGGUGAUCGGCCACACUGGGACUGAGACACGGCCCAGACUCCUACGGGAGGCAGCAGUAGGGAAUCUUCCGCAAUGGACGCAAGUCUGACGGAGCAACGCCGCGUGAGUGAUGAAGGGUUUCGGCUCGUAAAACUCUGUUGUUAAGGAAGAAUACUUGAGGUAGUAACUGGCCUUGAGAUGACGGUAC